AGAAUCAACGCUGGCGGCGUGCCUAACACAUGCAAGUCGAACGCGGUUAGCCCGCAAGGGUUAACUGAGUGGCGAACGGGUGAGUAACACGUGGGUGAUCUACCUUCGAGUGGGGGAUAACGUUCCGAAAGGAACGCUAAUACCGCAUGACGUUCUGGGUUUGAAGACCUGGAAACCAAAGUCGGGGACCGCAAGGCCUGACGCUUGGAGAGGAGCCCGCGCCUGAUUAGCUAGUUGGUGAGGUAAUGGCUCACCAAGGCGACGAUCAGU
rnacentral:rRNA from 1 species